rnacentral:rRNA from 1 species
GACGAACGCUGGCGGCGUGCCUAAUACAUGCAAGUAGAACGCUGAAGGAGGAGCUUGCUCUUCUGGAUGAGUUGCGAACGGGUAAGUAACGCGUAGGUAACCUGCCUGGUAGCGGGGGAUAACUAUUGGAAACGAUAGCUAAUACCGCAUAAGAGUAGAUGUUGCAUGACAUUUGCUUAAAAGGUGCAAUUGCACCACUACCAGAUGGACCUGCGUUGUAUUAGCUAGUUGGUGGGGUAACGGCUCACCAAGGCGACGAUACAUAGCCGACCUGAGAGGGUGAUCGGCCACACUGGGACUGAGACACGGCCCAGACUCCUACGGGAGGCAGCAGUAGGGAAUCUUCGGCAAUGGACGGAAGUCUGACCGAGCAACGCCGCGUGAGUGAAGAAGGUUUUCGGAUCGUAAAGCUCUGUUGUAAGAGAAGAACGAGUGUGAGAGUGGAAAGUUCACACUGUGACG